UUAAAGCUGUAUCUUUUCAUGUAUAGGUGUGUAAGUAAGAGUCUGGGAAGUCUAUCAAAAUAUUAAUAAGGUAGCUUUUUCUAAAUGGUACGCAUAAUUACUUUAAAAAAUCAAAAGGUUUGUUUUAAUUUUUUUUUUUUUUAAUAGGACGCAGGAGGAAAAAAAAAUCUCCCCAGCUGCUAACUUUCCAAGAUACAUCACAGGCAUG